rnacentral:rRNA from 2 species
CGAACGCUGGCGGCGUGCCUAAUACAUGCAAGUCGAACGAACUCUGGUAUUGAUUGGUGCUUGCAUCAUGAUUUACAUUUGAGUGAGUGGCGAACUGGUGAGUAACACGUGGGAAACCUGCCCAGAAGCGGGGGAUAACACCUGGAAACAGAUGCUAAUACCGCAUAACAACUUGGACCGCAUGGUCCGAGUUUGAAAGAUGGCUUCGGCUAUCACUUUUGGAUGGUCCCGCGGCGUAUUAGCUAGAUGGUGGGGUAACGGCUCACCAUGGCAAUGAUACGUAGCCGACCUGAGAGGGUAAUCGGCCACAUUGGGACUGAGACACGGCCCAAACUCCUACGGGAGGCAGCAGUAGGGAAUCUUCCACAAUGGACGAAAGUCUGAUGGAGCAACGCCGCGUGAGUGAAGAAGGGUUUCGGCUCGUAAAACUCUGUUGUUAAAGAAGAACAUAUCUGAGAGUAACUGUUCAGGUAUUGACGGUAUUUAACCAGAAAGCCACGGCUAACUACGUGCCAGCAGCCGCGGUAAUACGUAGGUGGCAAGCGUUGUCCGGAUUUAUUGGGCGUAAAGCGAGCGCAGGCGGUUUUUUAAGUCUGAUGUGAAAGCCUUCGGCUCAACCGAAGAAGUGCAUCGGAAACUGGGAAACUUGAGUGCAGAAGAGGACAGUGGAACUCCAUGUGUAGCGGUGAAAUGCGUAGAUAUAUGGAAGAACACCAGUGGCGAAGGCGGCUGUCUGGUCUGUAACUGACGCUGAGGCUCGAAAGUAUGGGUAGCAAACAGGAUUAGAUACCCUGGUAGUCCAUACCGUAAACGAUGAAUGCUAAGUGUUGGAGGGUUUCCGCCCUUCAGUGCUGCAGCUAACGCAUUAAGCAUUCCGCCUGGGGAGUACGGCCGCAAGGCUGAAACUCAAAGGAAUUGACGGGGGCCCGCACAAGCGGUGGAGCAUGUGGUUUAAUUCGAAGCUACGCGAAGAACCUUACCAGGUCUUGACAUACUAUGCAAAUCUAAGAGAUUAGACGUUCCCUUCGGGGACAUGGAUACAGGUGGUGCAUGGUUGUCGUCAGCUCGUGUCGUGAGAUGUUGGGUUAAGUCCCGCAACGAGCGCAACCCUUAUUAUCAGUUGCCAGCAUUAAGUUGGGCACUCUGGUGAGACUGCCGGUGACAAACCGGAGGAAGGUGGGGAUGACGUCAAAUCAUCAUGCCCCUUAUGACCUGGGCUACACACGUGCUACAAUGGAUGGUACAACGAGUUGCGAACUCGCGAGAGUAAGCUAAUCUCUUAAAGCCAUUCUCAGUUCGGAUUGUAGGCUGCAACUCGCCUACAUGAAGUCGGAAUCGCUAGUAAUCGCGGAUCAGCAUGCCGCGGGUGAAUACGUUCCCGGGCCUUGUACACACCGCCCGUCACACCAUGAGAGUUUGUAACACCCAAAGUCGGUGGGGUAACCUUUUAGGAACCAGCCGCCUAA